UACAGAGGGUGCGAGCGUUGUUCGGAAUUACUGGGCGUAAAGCGCGCGCAGGCGGCCCUUUAAGUCUACCCGUGAAAUGCCGGAGCUCAACUCCGCGCACGCCGGGGGAUACUGGGGGGCUGGAGACAUGUAGAGGCAAGCGGAAUUCCGGGUGUAGCGGUGGAAUGCGUAGAGAUCCGGAAGAACACCUGAGGCGAAGGCGGCUUGCUGGGCAUGAUCUGACGCUGAGGCGCGAAAGCGUGGGGAGCAAAAGGG
rnacentral:rRNA from 1 species